AAAUCUUUAACAUCCCCAGAAAAAGGAUUCGAUGAAUUUUGAGGUGACGUUUUGGUUUUGGAACAUUGGGACUUUGGGGGUGUUUGGUUGCGGGGAGAUAAUAGUUGGUGAGAAUGAGAUGGGAAUUUUGUCUAAGGCUGUGUGCCCAUCUCAUUCUGUUGUACGUAAGUUUGAAUUUUUGUCCACGUUAAUUAGGGCAUUUUACAAUGUGUUUGUCAAAAAAAACAAAAGGUGGAAAGUAUUUAUUUUUGGUGUGAAGGUGUUCUAUCACUACAACUAAGCUAGGAUCCAAAUUACUUCGUGAAAUUUGUUGUUGUAGAAUGGAAUAUCAAGUUGAUUCAACGGUUCUUGCGAAAUCGCGUUAUUGUAUUCCGACAAACAUGGAGGAGAAUUGGAGCCAUGUUGAAUUUCAGGAUUUAUGCAUGACCCUUUGGCAAUGGGUUGGCAAUACCCCAUUACUUGGAAAGUCGCUUUAUGUUGAUACUGGAUGAUUUUCAAGUGAAAAGUGCGUUGCAUAUGAUCAACUAAAGCAAAACUAUCCAUGCAUGCCACCAAAAGGAUCGAAAUAAAAUUGUGGGUUUAGACCUUGGCUCUUGAGAUGGAUCAAAAUUGUGAUGUAGAGGACUAUGUCUGAUUCAAAAGUGAUUAGUGAAAAUAAGCUUUUUUAUAAGUUCAGUUUGAAGAGAGUGAAACUAACAAAGUUGCAAGUCAGUGAAAACCUUAGGAUGGCUGAACACUAUUUAAUUUUGAAAGACAAUUGAUCUUCAUGAUUGAAUGUAUCUAAAUGUAGCUCUGGUAUUCGGAGUCAAGCAGUUUCCAAUGCAAAGAUUCUAAACAAAAUUAUAAUCCAUGAGAAAUUUCGAUUUGUUAUCUUGGUGGAGUACUCAACCCUUUGAACCACGGUUCAAGACGAGUGUUAUGUAGAAGUAUUUGAACUGAUUUGUUUAGAUUUAAAUUCUUUAGUUUUAGACUUUACAUUGUUAUUUUUAAACUCGACUUAUAAGAGAUUUUGCACAGAAAAAUACAUUUUCUAUAAUAGAAAGACAAUCAUUUGGAUUAAAAUACAUCAUGAUGUUAUGGUUAAUGAAUGCCUUGUGGAGAGAUUUCUCUCUGUCUUCCCCUUAAUUUUGCUCUUAUGUGUUCCAUUCCAAUAUUUCAGAAAAUUGACGGUUUCAAUUUUGACAUUUGGAUUAUUAAAAUACAUUACGAUGUUAUGUGAUAUGAUUUUUACCACAUACAUGAAUAGGGAUAAAGACACCUAAAAAUAUUUUUAAGAGUAUAAGAUAAUCGUAGUAUAGUCGACUCUAGCAAUGUCAUUCUCCAUAGUAAUUCAAUGAAUAAUUUAUGUUAAAAUCAAAAUUUAAUUAAUUAUUUAAAAACAAAGUUUGAAAAAUGUUGAUUUUAUGACCUAAAAUAUUAAAAACGAAUUUAACUAAAAACAAAAGAAAAUAGUUUUGAAAAUCAAUUUAAGCUCUAGAGUUGUCACCUUAAGAAUCCUAUAUAGUUCUUCCAAUUAGUUAUGAAUUAUCCAUGCAUAUUUUGAAGGUUAGGUUUUCCUAAUAUAUGUCCUACUUAGAACCUCCAACAUAUAAUGUGUAUCUAACAUGCAACCCGUUUGUGGUGUCCAGAUCGAAUAUGAACAUGCAAGACUCAUUCAGUUUUGUGAAAACCUUUUGAAAAACCAUGCAAUCCUUAAGACGUGGCGUCUAUCCUAAGUGAAGUUACACAUAUUAACCACAAGAAACCUUAGCCAAUUUCAGGGAUAGCCCUUCCCCAAAACUGCAUCAAAUUACUUUUCUAAAUAUUCUAAUGGUGGCCAAUCAUCAAAACAAUUAGAUAAUUUCAAACACGGUGAUUAACAAUUCAAAACAUGCAUGCAUAAUAUCAUAAAUAAAUUGAAAAUAAACUACAUAUUCUUGCUAAGGCUCGUAGCCUCACCCUAGCAAACGGAAAUUAGUUAUGAACAAUCAUAAAAUAAAAUAUUAUUAAGAACAUGAAUAGAAAACACCUUGAAAAUAAACUUCAAUCAUCAAAAGCUGUCUAAGCCGAAUUCUCCAAAGUAGUGCGUUCUUCCGAACCCUAAUGGCUAAAUAGCCUUAUUUAUACUACUACAAAACAGAACCAUAAGGAAACAAAAUAAAUUAAGAUAAACUAGAAAACAAUAUCCUAGUCAAACAUGGAGAAAUAUGCCAUCUAACAAAUCUGCCACGUUUUAGACUUAAAUAUACUCCAAAUCCAGCCCAUGAGAGCUUCUUUUAAAGGAAAACUAAUGAAAAUGACUUGAAAACUUUGAGUUUUAACGAUAAAGACAAAAUAAAGGGUAAAGUGAAUAGUACCAGUAUUGACUUUUUAGUGUUAAAAUGUGGUUUUUCGUUAAAGUGAAUAGUACCGGGAGCUUUUAGUUAAAGUUCCCUUGUUUUAAAGAUUAGAACAAUCUAAAUACAUCUCCAGAAGGGGCCGAAUCCAAAAUAGGCCAUAUUGAGCCCCAAAACUUGCAAUCAAGCCCAAAACAUCACGUUUCAACACUACGCGCUGCUUAUUUAUUUUAUCGUCAGAAAAUAACCACUUGGUGGAAAAAUGUGAAACUUUGAUACGACUAAGCUAAGCAACUCAGAAAAGUCUUCCAAUUGGAAUUACUCCACCAUUUGAUCAAUUUUGCCUCAAUGGAGAAUGAAAGUCCUAUUGACUCAUCAUUAUAGACAAUGAAUGCCCCAUGGAGAUAUUAGUCUCUAUCCUAGUGGUGUACACAAGUAAUUUCACUAAAAGAAACAGAAGUAACAAAUUAAUUAACUAGAUUAGAUGAAACCCAGCAUUAGUGAGGUUGCAGACAACUGAACUCCAAACAUAACAAAAAACAGUUGACAUUGAAACCUACGACAAACAUAAGACCCCCCAUUCUAAGGAACAAAUCUAGCUAGUCAGGAUAUGUAUAUACAUCCUCAUAACAUGAGAGUUCUUCGCGUCACACAAGGUCAGCCAUGAAGGUAGCCGAAAUAGGCGACCCCCCUAGUUCCCCAUUUCUGAAGGGUCCUCAAUUUAAAAAAAAAAUAUAAAUUUUUACAAUUCAAAUUUAAUAAAACUCAAAAAAUAGAAUCAUACGCAAUUGAAAAAGUAGAUUAUGUAAACUUAUUUAGUACAUUUUUGCUUCUAAAAACAAGAGACGUGUAAUAUUUAAGUAAUAUUUGUUUAUCUUUUUUGUUCUAAUAUUAGUUUUUAAUGAUAUUUGAUGUAAAAAUAGACUUUUAGGGUGAUUUUGUGUAAAAUCAAUAAAAAGUUACAAUAUAUCAACAAUAUUUAUGUUAAUUAUAAAUAUGUCAAUCAUGUAUUGUAAUACUUAAAUGCAUUUAAGAUAAACAAAAAUUACAAAAUUGCCAUUACAACUGGCACUCACUUCAACUGACACUCAUUUCUCAUAGUUUUAUAUUUUGGAAUAGUCAAGAUGGAUCAAACACUGCAAUGCAGUGUCUAUUUCCUGAUUAUGUUUUUUACAUUUGGAUUCAUACACUACGUUGCAGUGUUCAUUUACUGAUUUCAUUUACUUCAUCACACACACGCCUCAUACAUGUUCCUUUUUAUGUUUACAUUUAAACACUGCAUUUGCAUUGUCUGUUUUCUAGUUUUGUUUUUUACUUUUAGAUUCAGACGCUGCGUUGUAGUGCCCAUUUAUUGGUUCUAUUUUUUCCAUCACUCACACGUCUCCUACACUUUCCACAUUGUGCGACUCAUGAUUUUCACAUUUAAGAUUCAAAUAGUAGAAUGUAGUGUCUGGUUUUUCCUAUGUUUUUUACGUUUGAAUUCAGACAUUGUAAUGCAGUGUCAGCAUGCUAGAACCAUAUAAGAAAGCAGCCUUUAUUUAAAAAACAUAGGUCAUUUAGUACUACGAUCUAAUUGUAUUCCUCUUCACUUGUAAAUGAGAGCUCUUAGGUUUGAUUAUGGCCAAAGGUGAAGUUGAACUAGAUUAUUAUGGGAAGCCCAUUAUAAGGCUUAAUCCAUUCCUCCACACUUUUAGUGUAGAUACUAUCGUUUGUUAAAAAAAAAAAAACAUAGAUCAUUAAAGAUUAAAACCCCAGACAUGAAAAGCCAAUAUUUUCAUGCUUGACGCAUAUGACUUGCGGUGUUCUUCACGUAGAAGCCAACUUGAGGUUCUAAUUAAUCAACGUUUUCAGGGCAAUACGUAUAACAUUGAUAGCUAUAAUCGGAAUACAAUUUGUGAGUAACUUUUGAACCAGUAUCCCAAGAGGUUUAAGCACAUUUCCAACCCAUUGUUCUAGUCUACAUAAUUGCGAUAAAACUUAAUUAUGUAACCAAAAUUCCCUUCACAUUUAUUUAUAAAAGUUUUAAGAUGGGUACUAGUUUAAUCUAGAGACGGAGGUUGAAUAGGUUUCAACUUGAAAAUCUAAACUUCAUUGAAGUCCAAUUUUGUGAGUCAAUAUUGUGUUUAGUCCACUUUGUUGGAUUACGUUCAUUUACUGAUUAUCCAUAUCGGUUUUUCUCUUUGUGAUAGAUGUCAUCCCUUAUUUAUAGGUCUAUCUUUUACUCAAUUUUAUUAAAUAUUGUUUCUCCUUUUUUGACAAUUCUUUCCUCUACCUCCAUGGUUAACUACGUUAAUUGAUCUAUAUUGUAGGUACUCUCUCUCUCUCUCUCUCUCUCUCUCUCUCUCUCUCUCUCUCUCUCUCUAUAUAUAUAUAUAUAUAUAUAUAUAUAUAUAUACACACACAUACUAGUGGUUAACUACGUUAAUUGAUCUAUAUUGUAGGUACUCUCUCUCUCUCUCUCUCUCUAUAUAUAUAUAUAUAUACACACACACACACUAGUAUGAAUUUAUAAAUGUAUGGAAGAUGAAAUUUCUUUGAACUAUUUUUAUGAAUGAUACGUAGAUUAAUUUUUGUUUAUUUUUGUAGGUACUUCCAGGGGCGGAGCCACCAAGGGACUAGGGUAGUCCUUAGCCCAUUCUGACUUCAUCUGAAGUGUGAAUCUCAUAGAAGAAGAUGAAGCAAACGACGUCGUUAAGCUGUUUUGAUUUUAAAUCUUUUUUGCUAUCUAAUGAAACGAUAAGUUUGGCAGAGGAGUUUUAAAAGAGAUGUGCAAUUUUAAAUGGAAAAAGCAACCCCAUUUCUAGUUCAAUUCUCUCACCUAACAGUAAUAUACACUCUAUAAUUUUCUAAAGCAACCCACCUUCUUUAUUUGUAGACAUCUCCCCCUUUUCUUUCUUUUUUCUACUUCUUGGUAUUUUCUUUAGCCUUCCACAACGUACCUCUUACUUGGUUGUCUGGGUUUUUACAUUUUUUUUCUUCUUAAUAUUGAAUUCAAGAGAAUUUUUUUUUCUUCAGUUUUGUGAGGAUUACACAAAUUGGUCAACAUGUCAUGAAUUCAACUUUUUACACACACUCACACACACACACACACACACAUAUUUGUGAAAGGCCCCUUCUCAUUCAGAAUUUUAGCUCCGCCAUUGGGUACUUCUAUAUAUGUUAAAUGUAUUUUAUCAACUUAUGAUAUAGGUAUCAUAUAUGAUGACAUAUAAAUUUUCUUUUAACUAUUUUCUGUGAAAGUGGUUAAAUUUUCAUAUUUAAAUAUUCAAAGGGUUGUUUUAUUAUCACUCUACAUUUUGUUGACCACAUCAAAACAUCCCACUUUUACUUUUUAAAUUAAAAAUUAUCUUAAUCCACCCCACGUAAUUUCUUACACUACCCUUACACCCCACAAGGAAGUAAUAAAGGUUGUUGCUGCCUUGUUGGGAGAUUUAUCUAGUGUUAGAAAGAAUUGCUUCUGUUUGUCGAAUUUCAGGAAAUAAAAUGUGCCUAGCUUCUAGUGUACUGCUAUUUGUAUAAUUUAGCUGUUUUUGUUUGAUUCUUGGUCUAGUCUCUGACUUGACCUCUUACAUUUUUAUCCUAUUUUGCUCUGGGAUUUCAAACUUCAGCUAGCUUUUCUCUUCUCUAAGUCUUUCAUUUCAACCGAAAAAAUGAGAAAUGAAACUCUCUUUUCCAGACAUUCGUAAAUGCCAAAUGGAAUUAGUUUCUAAUUCAUAAUUAAUGAUUAUGCAUGUAUCAACAUCAAUAUAUUUCCCUUACGAAAAAUCUCAUGGGUUCCUUGUAGCAUUUGCUAUUGUGAUCGCGAUUACACCCCCAACUAAUGAAAAUUAUCUUUAAAAAAGUGAUAUCGGAAUUUGCAGAAUUUAUUUUCAAAUUUGAACUCUUAGAAUAAAGCUCGAAAACAAGAAAAAUCGAUCUCAACGUGUUCUUGAAUUAUAUUAGGUUUUGCUGUUAAAAGAACUUACGGAGAGUACUAUUUAAGGCUUAAAUAGUCAUUUUAUAUCAAGAUAUGUGAGUUAUUUAUUAUUAAAUUUUAUGUGGAAUGUAGUCAACAAAAUAUGGGGUGUUAAUAAAAAAAAAACCCAUAUUCAAAUUAAAAUUUUGAGUAAAGAUGCAUAAUCAAAAUUGAAAAGUAGGAAAAUUGGACUAAAUCCAACAACUCAAAUUUGGAUCUUGGUCAAAGUACCCGAAAAUCUAAGUCAAAUGUUAAAUCUCAAGUUAUUUCCACAUACAUACCACAUAGAAAUACCCUACACAUAUGCAGAUAAAUAAACAAACAAAAUGUGCACAACAGAUGUAGGAAUUACCGACGCAAAUUUCACCAUUAAGAAAAUCCACGGGCUCUCAAAUUAGGACAAACACUAAGAGAAGAAGUAUAGAAAGAUUUACAAAACUCAUCAACUAGAUACACAUACUAGUAGGCAAUUUUGUCCACUCGCUUUGCUACUCGAUCUCUCUUCAGUCUUUAAGUGUGGAAGUGGCACCACACUAACGUGGCCGUCAAUUAGAUUCUUCUCGAAAUUUGCAAGAUACUAAGGUGAUCAUUUAGAAUGUAUGGGAUGAAAUGUUUUUUUCAAAAAUUAACCGAUUACGGAAAUCACAAGACACAUUUCUAUCAUACAUUUCUGAUUUAUACGUAAAAAAAAACCUAGAAAUUAAAAAAAAAAAUCUUUAAAAACACACGGACACAAAACUGAUUUUUCUCAAAGUAAAAACUCAGGGAUGCUGAUCACGUUAAAACCCAUAACAUGCAACACUUAGGUUUUGAAUAAUCAGUGAAGAAAAUAUAAAUUUACCUACAUUUUACAGAUUCAAUAAUGUAUCUAUAUAUAUAUAUAUAUAUAUGUAGUUUCACUGAUUCACCUAGAUUGUAUAUGUGUAAGAUAUUUAUGUAUCUUUCCUUUUGUCUAACUUAACUUUAUGUACAUUAAUGCUAAUCAUAAGUUUAAGUUUCGCGAUUCGUCAUAUCUUUUGCUUACUUAGAUGCACCUAUAUCUACAUUUUACGUUUAUUAAUGUGCCUAUAUGUACAUUAAUGUGUAUAUUAAUUUACCAGAGAAGGAUCAAUUAUGAUAUUUGAAAAAAAAAAAAAAUUAAAUUGGCAUGUCAUUCCCACCCAACACAAGAUGGUAAAUCAUGCAUUAAAAUGCAAGUGAAAGAUAUAGUUGGUAUGUACCAUUGUUAAGUAUAUUUUCAAUGUCCCUCUACAUAAUUAUGACACAUGCACUAAAAAAAUCUCUCACACCUUAUUAUACAUCCCACUCAAUUUGUAAAUUUAAACCAAUAAAUGAGAUAGUAGCCAAAUUUGCAAUAAAUCCCACCAAAGAUAUAUGUGUUCAACAAUAUUUUUUGGACAAGGAAAAGUAUGUAAUAUGGGAAAUCAAGGAAUAAAAGGAAAUUUGCUUACUUAGAUCUCACCACCUCGUUGAUUACCAUUAGAAGAGUUUGAUUUAAUAUAUCUAUUCGACGAAUCUCGAAACUCAAAUUUAUCUAACGGUAAUCAAUGGGGUGGUGAGGAUGUGAAAGUAAAAAGGUUUUACGAUGAAAAAGAAACCUUGCAAGACUUGUAAGAGUUAGACUAUUUCUCAUAUUGGCAAUUAGUUUUACGUAGAACUUCAACUUUCUUCAUGGUAUCAAAACAAGUUUGCCCAUGUUUGAAGCCCCACGUGUUCCGCGUCACCCAUUUCAUGUUGACCAUGUAUUUGGCUUGAAAAUCACCACACAUGAGAAAUGUGUGAGAAUGUAAUUAUAAAAGAGUCCAACAUUGGUAAAAGAAAAAACCUUGCAAUGGUUUAAAAGAUGUUGAAAUAUUUCUCAUAUUUCCAAUUAGCUGAAGAUAAGAAAAAAUUAGCUUCAAGUAACUCAAAUUUUCUUUUAUUUUUAUUAUAAAUAAUGAGAAAUCGGAUUCAUAAACGAAGGGCCAGCCAAAAGCCACAAAGGCGAAUACAAAUACAGGAGGGAGUACAUAAACAACAUUUAAAUAAUAGAUGGUAUUUUCCCAACCAAAUUCACAGAGGAUGAAAACCGCAUUGUCAUGAAAUUCAACAGGCUUGAAUACAUCAACAACAUAAAGCAAAAGUAAAAAUACAAAAGUCACAAGGAGGGACAACAAACUCAUAGUGAGUUGCCGCAACUUAUUCUGAUUCAUUAUGAGUCAAACAGAAAACUAAAACUUGAAUAACAACUUGCACAACGACUCUGGUAGAUCCAUUGUACUUUAUUCAUUAUUUGGGAUUCAAAUUUGAUAAACAAGUUUGAUGUCCUCAUCAUUAUCAUCCACAGAUACUUGAAUAUUUUUCAUAUUUCUUUGGCUCUUCUUCAAGAAAGUUUUGAACCAGUUUGCCGAGCGUUUUGGGUACCUUGUCAGUGCACCAUCAUAGUCCACAUAGUUAAGACCAAAUCGACUACGAUAUCCUUCUGCCCAUUCAAAGUUAUCUAGUAUCGACCAUGCAAAGUAUCCUUUUACUUUAGCACCCGAUCUGCGCACACAUGUAGAAAACAAAGCAACCAAAUGCAUUGAUAUGGAUAAUUAAAUAUAAUAAUAAAAAAUUGUAAGAAGGCAUAGAUAUAUAUAUAUAUAUAUAUAUAUAUAUAUAUAUAUAUGUAUGUAUGUAUGUAUGUAUGUAUAACACUAUAUAUAGCCUUAUUGAAUUCCUAAACAAGGUACUAACUGAAUUGCUGCUUGAAGGUGACAAAGGUGGUCACGAUAGUAGUUGACUCUGAUGGUAUCAUUAAGGGCUUCUGCGAGUGAUAAGCUGCUAUUAGUGAACUCAUCGACGUCUUCAACAUAAUGAAUUAUUAUAUGCGUUGAUAAUUUUCUCUAAAGUGAAAUCUGCAUUUAGUUUUUGAGUUUAGACUGCACCUAAUUUAGUUAUGCAUACACAUGUCAAACUUUGAUAAUGCAAUUAAUUAAGGCUUGAAAGUACUGCUUACCAUUUUCAGUAAUAUAAAUGGUUGGAUCAUUAUACUUUUUCUUGGUAUAAAUCAUAAGAUCGUGAAUUCCUUUUGGAUAAAUGUAUAACCAAUCCGAAGCAGCCUACAAAACCAUUUAAAGAUAAUUGGAAUUCACAUGAGUUAUGUUUUUAUGCAGAAAAAAAUACAUAUUAAUCCUCCAAGUGCCAAAAACUUUUAAGUUCAAAUUGGAUGUGUACCCGUGGACCAAUGGGUUUUCCAUUAACCUCAGCUGUCAUAAUAUACACAAAUAUUAGAAUCUAAGUAUUCUGAGAACUUAAUUAAUUGCUUGAAAUAAGUUUUUAAUUUGUACUCACCUGUCGCAUUAACAUGAGGAUCAUUUAUGUAGUUUUCAGGGUCAGAUGAAUUCUCUAGUGGAUUGCUUGCAUAUCUAGCAGAGUAGUAAUUGAUUCCUAUAAAAUCAUAUGACCUAUUUAGAGAAUCGGACCGCUCUUUUGUGAAUUGAGGUAAUCGUGAUCCAACAUAUGUUCGCAUGCUUCGGGGAUAGUCACCAGUUGUGAUUGGGUCCAUAAACCUACAAAAUAUACAGAUAUUCCAAGCAUGAACUCAUGGUAGCUAUAAUGUCUUGCUAACUAUAUUUAUAUUUUUUAAUUUUGUAUAAAAAAAUAAAGUAUUUAUAAAUAAAAUAUUUAACUAGUUGAUACAUCCGAUUGAAAAAUACUAGUUGAUAUAUAUGUAUAUUUCAAUAAUAUAUUUACCAUCCAAACAUAAAAUCCAAAGCUCGAUUUGCAGCAUCUAUAUCUUUUUUUGCCUUGGAAGCUGGCUCAAACCAGUGUGUCACUACUGCUAAUCCUAUCGCACCAUUUUGAUAUUCCUACAUAAGAAAGUUCAAGAAUAUAUAUUAAGAGGCAGACAAAAAUAUCACCGUUGUUUAUCUCAAUAUGCCAAGUAUUCCUAAUUUAUUGUAACUAAAUACUACUAAUGCCUCAAAUAUAAUUUUUAAUUAAGAACCAAAUAUUCAGUCCCAAAUAAAUAAUUAAUUAGACCUGGUAUUUAGUCUUGUACAACUUCACAGCGGCUGCAUGAGAAAGGAGUUGGUGGUGUGUCACCAAAUAUGGUUCAACAGCCGAAUUUCCACCAAUGCAGUUCAAUUUUUGCCAAGCUGAGCAUCGUCCCGGUGCGUGAGUCCCGAUUGCAUAACCAUGGUUAUUUACAGUAAAUGGCUCAUUCAAAGUGAGCCAGCGCUUUGCUCGAUCACCAAAAUGCAUAAAACAAAGAUCUGCAUAAUAAGGUACUCACCAAAAUAAUAAGGUAUUUUUCCAACCAAAUUCACAAAGGACGAAAACAACUUUGUCGUAAAAUCCAACAGGCUUGGAUACACCAACAACAUAAAGCAAAAGUAAAACUAAAAAGCCACAAGGAGAGACAAUAAACUCAGAAUGAGUUGCUCUAACUCAUUCUGACUCAUAAUGAGUCAAACUAAUAACUAAAACUUGAAAAAACAACUUGCCCAAUGAUUCUGGUGGAUUCUUGUACUUUAUUCAUCAUAUUUGGGAUUCAAAUUUGAUACACAAGAGUGAUGUCCUCAGCAUUAUCAUCCACAUACACUUGAAUAUCUUUUGCAUUUUUUUGGCUCUUCUUCAAGAAAGUUUUGAACCAUUUUGCUGAGCAUUUUGGAUACCUUAUGUUGAAUAUUUUAAAAAUAUAUAUAUAAUUAUAUAUAUAUAUAUAUAUAUAUAUAUGGGAAUGUUUGACGGGAAGUUGGGUCAUUGACCCAACAAUUAUAUCUUUUCAAAUUAGCAUUGUAACCUUUUGCUAAUACCCAACGGUUGCUGCAUGUUUUACAACAUAUAUGAUCUUUGGGUAAUUGGUGUUUGUAUUAGAUAUGUCCAUUGGACAUAAUGAUGCAAUGUGUUGUAUCCCAUGGUGAAAAGACAUACUCAAAUCAAAUGAUGUGUCUAAAAGGUGUAAUUCUCUUUAUAUAUAGUGGUGACAUUAGUAGAAAAGAAUCAUUCAAAAAUUUGUUGUCUACAUAAUUUCUUUGCUCUCUUCUCUCCUCAUCACAUUUAUACAAUUUCUUUCUAGUUAUUUUUAAGGGAAUACAAUUCGGUUUUGCUAAUCGAAUAUUCCAUACUUUGUUGUAUCCUGGAAGUGAUUUGCCAAGAACCCUUUAGCAAACUCAUUCGAGUGGGGGCAAAUAACACUUUAAGGAAACGAUUCAAGUCGUACCUCAAAGUCAUUAUUCGGAUUAUUCUCCAUAUUUCUAUAUUUAAUCUAACAAUCUUAAAGUGUUAUUUUCGUUAUGGAUAACAAAUCUGAUAACAUGGCUUUGAAGAUUAUCAAUCAAGAUGUCUACAAGUUAGACAAAUUUGAUGGAUCAAAUUUCACCCGAUGGAAGGACAAGAUGCGUUUCAUGCUUACUGUUCUAAAUGUCAUAUAUGUGUUGGACCCGAAAUUGGAGCCUAUUCGUGAACCAAGUGACAAAGACUCGGACAAUAUAGUUGCCGAUCGAAAGAAGCGUGAAGAAGAUGAAUUGGUAUGUCGAGGACACAUCUUGGGCACAUUAUUUGAUCGUUUAUAUGACCUGUAUGCACACAUUCAAUCUCCAAAGGAAAUUUGGGAAGCACUUGAACACAAGUACACAACGGAAAAAAGAGGUACCGAUAAAUUUUUAAUGUUCAAAUAUUAUGAAUUCACUAUGUUUGAUAACAAACCCAUCCUAGACCAAGUUCAUGAAUUAUUAGUCUUAGUCUCCAAGCUUUGUGAACUUAAAAUAGUUAUUCCAGAUCCUAUGAUAGUUGGGGCUAUUAUGGCAAAAUUACCCCAAACAUGGAAUAACUAUAGAAAGAAACUUCUACACAUGGUGGAAGAUAUUAGUUUGGAGAAUUUGCAAAAGGGUAUUCAAAUUGAAGAGGAAACUCGAAAUCGUGAUAAGAAUUUUGCAAAUCAAGAUUUCUCUAAAGUUCACAUUGUCGAAGGAAACAAAUAUAAAAAGAACUUCAAAGUCAAAAUUGACAAAGGGAAGUUUAAGAAGACCAAUUCCAACAACAACCAAAAGAAUGCAAAUGGUGUAUGUUACCAUUGUGGAAAGAAAUGCCAUUACAUUCGUGAUUGUAGACACAGAAAAGCAAGUGAGGAAUAUGCCAAUAAGACCAAUAGCGCAAAUAUGGUGGAUUUUUACAAUUGCCGGAGGAGCAAUUUCUUGGGCUUCGAAGAAGCAAACAUGUAUAGUACAUUCAACUAUGGAAUAUGAAUUUAUAGCAUUAGCAGCAGCAGGUAAAGAAGCGGAAUGGAUUAGAAAUUUGUUAUUGGAAAUAGAGUUGUGGCCACAACCAAUGCCAUCCAUUUCUUUAUACUGUGAUAGUGAGGCUACUUUGUCUAGAGCAUACAAUAAGGUAUACAAUGGAAAAUCUAGACAUAUUAGCUUGAGACAUGAAUAUGUCAAGCAAUUAAUAACUGAUGGAGUUAUUAAUAUUGUUUAUGUUAAAUCAAGUAAUAACUUGGCGGAUCCGUUAACGAAAGCACUUUCAAGAGCUUUGGUAGUUAGUACAUCUAGUGGAAUGGGGCUAAAACCCUUUACUGAAAAUUAGCCACCAAUAAUGGUAACCCGACUUUGUCUAGAACAUCACUAGUUUAAAAGUUUAAUGGGUAAUAACAAGUUAUUGUUAAGUGGUUGUGUAAGCACUGAAAAUUAUUAUAUAGCUCAUUCCAGGAUGAUCAGUGCAAGACUGCUACGUUUAGGAGGAUGAGUUUUAACUCUUAAUGAGGUUAUUUGUAGUUAUGUCUAUAGUAGCAGGGACAUGGGAAGGAACCUCACCUAUAUAAACAUAAGAAGUGGUGCCGCUUCUACCAAGAGUUGGGUUUUCUCUUGUAAAUGUUUAUGAAACCAGGAUGAAGCACAAGGCCAUAAUAGUGCUUAAUUGGUUCAAGAAUUUCUUUAAAGAAAUAAGACAUAAUCAUGUGUGUAGUGAUUCCGGUUUUAACAUAAGAAUAGGUGGUUUAAACUUAGGUCACAAUCGCAUUCGUUAUAACUUUGAAUUACUUACACUAAUUAAAGGUUUAAUUCGAAAGACACCUUUAUUGUAUGCAUGAUUAUAUCGGUAUGCUUGUGAUAAUUAUAAAGAGAGUUGUAAUAUCAUUUUCUAUAUAUUUUUCAAAUAGGGAAGGAUUGUUGAAUAUUUUAAAAAAAUAUAUAUAUAAUAAUAUAUAUAUAUAUAUGGGGAUGUUUGACGGGAAGUUGGGUCAUUGACCCAACAAUUAUAUCUUUUCAAAUUAGCAUUGUAACCUUUUGCUAAUACCCAACGGUUGCUGCAUGUUUUACAACAUAUAUGAUCUUUGGGUAAUUGGUGUUUGUAUUAGAUAUGUCCAUUGGACAUAAUGAUGCAAUGUGUUGUAUCCCAUGGUGAAAAGACAUACUCAAAUCAAAUGAUGUGUCUAAAAGGUGUAAUUCUCUCUAUAUAUAGUGGUGACAUUAGUAGAAAAGAAUUAUUCAGAAAUUUGUUGUCUACAUAAUUUCUUUGCUCUCUUUUCUCUCCUCAUCACAUUUAUACAAUUUCUUUCUAGUUAUUUUUAAGGGAAUACAAUUCGGUUUUGCUAAUCGAAUAUUCCAUACUUUGUUGUAUCCUAGAAGUGAUUUGCCAAGAACCCUGUAGCAAACUCAUUCGAGUGGGGGCAAAUAACACUUUAAGGAAACGAUUCAAGUCGUACCUCAAAGUUAUUAUUCGGAUUAUUCUCCAUAUUUCUAUAUUUAAUCUAACACCUUAUCAGUCCACAUUCAUAGUCCACAUUGUUGAGACCAAAUCGAUUAUUAUAUCCCUUUGUCCAUUCGAAGUUAUCCAGUAUCGAUCAUGCAAAGUAUCCCUUUACUUUAGCACCUGAUAUGCGUACACACAUAGAAAACAAAGUGCAUUGAUAUAGAUAACUACAAAAAAAAUGUAAGAAGGCAUAUAUAUGUAUAUUAUAUGUAGCCUUAUCUAAUUCCUUAACAAGUACUAACUGAAUUGCUGCUUUAAGGUGACAAAGGUGGUCACGAUGGUAGUUGACUCUUAUGGUAUCUUUAAGGGCUUGCUCAAGUGAUAAGCUGCGAUUAUUGAACUCAUCGACACCUACAACAUAAUAAAUUAUCAUUUGCGUUGAUAAUUUUAUCUAUAAAUAAAUAAAUUUGCAUUUAGUUUUGAGUUUAGACUUUAAAACACCUAAAUUUACUUAUAUAUACACAUGUGAAACAUUGAUGAUGCAAUCAAUUAAGGAUGAAAGUAUUAAUGCUUACCAUUUUCAGUAAUGUAAAUGGCUAGAUCAUUAUACUAUUUCUUGGUAUAAAUUAUUGAGAAAUGAUUUUCAUUACCUCAAAAGAUAAGUUACAAGAGUAUUUAUAUGGAAGCUAAAGUAACAAACUAACAGAGUUAAGGAAAGUUACAAGAGUGGUAAUUUUCCUAACUAACUUUUAACUGUGUGUUAUUACUAUUAUGUUGAGUUACUUUAGUAACUUUCUCUUCACACCCCCUCAAGCUAAACGGAGAAGGUUGAAGUGAUAGCUUGGACCAGAGAAGAAGAAAGCGUUGCAUUGGAAGGGAUUUGGUGUGAAUGUCUGCAAGUUGAUCCUGACUGCAUACAAAUUGGACGGUCAGCAACUUGGCAAGAACAAGUUCUCGUAUGUAAUGGUAAUCUAUUUCCACAUGUUUGGUGCGAGCAUGGAAAACAGGGUUGGAAGCAAGAGCAAUCGCAGAAACAUUGUCACACCAAAUUUGAGGAAGAGAAGGCAGCUUGAAACCAAUAUCCAUGAACAAUUUGCAGAUCCAUGUUAAUUCAGCAGCAGUAUGAGCCAAUGACCUAUAUUCAACUUCGGUGGAUGAACGAGCAACAGUGUGUUGCUUCUUGGCACUCUAACUAAUGAUGGAGGGUCCAAGAAAGAUGCAAAAUCCCCCAGUGGAACGUCUAUCCCAGGAACAUCCUGCCCAAUCAGCAUCAGAAUAUGCUUUGAGAGUGAGAGGAGUCGAGUUUUAGGAAACCAGAUACCAUAACCAAGCGUUCCCUUAAGGUAGCGCAGGAUGCACUUCACUGCUUGAAAAUGGGGUUCUUGAGGAGAGUGCAUAAAUUGGCAGACCAAGUUGACUGAAAAAGAGAGAUCCGGACGAGUCCAUGUAAGAUACUGAAGAGCAUCAACAAUAGAACGAUAUUCCUCUGGAUUAUCCAAUAGAGAACCAGUGAGAUCAAGCUUAGUAGAACCAAGAGGAGUGGUGCAGGGCUUUGUUCCAUCCAUUUUAGUGCGUUUGGGAAGAUCUAAGAUGUACUUAGAUUGAUGAAUAAAGAUCCCUGUAGAAGCACGGGUAACUUCCAAUCCAAGGAAAAAGUGCAAAUCACCUAAAUCCUUAAUGGGGAAUUGAACAUUGAGUUGAGAGAUAACAUUGGUACAAGCUGUGGAAGAAGGUCUGAUGACAAGAAUGUCAUCAACAUAGACCAAAACAAGCACCAAGACAGGUUGUUGCAACACAAACAAGCUAUGAUCAGAUUGGGAGGCCUGAAAUCCCAUAGAGAAGAGAGCAGAUUGCAGUUGUUCAAACCAAGCUCGAGGAGCUUGUUUCAAUCCAUAGAGGGAUUUCUGCAAGUGACAAACAUAAGAAGAUUUGUCUUGAUCAAUGAAUCUUGGAGGCUGAGACAUAUACAUAUCUUCCUUUAAAGAGCCAUGCAAAAACGCAUUACUGACAUCUAAUUGAUGCAGAAACCAAUUUGAGUGAACUGCAAGUGUGAGAAGAAGGCGAAUGGUAACUAGUUUAGCCACUGGGCUAAAAGUAUCACUGUAAUCAAUACCCUCAUGCUGAUUAUAGCCCUUAGCUACUAACCGGGCUUUAUAACGGUCCACAGAACCAUCAGGGUUCCUUUUAAUCCGAAAGACCCAUUUGCACCCAACAAGAUUGUAAAAAGGAUCAGAGGGAACCAAUGUCCAAGUUCUUGUAUUUUGUAGAGCAUUAAACUCAUCUUGCAUUGCAGUUCUCCAAUAGGGAUAUUUGGAUGCCUGAAUAUAUGUAGUGGGAACAAAAUCAGUGUUUAAGUUAGAAGGAAUAGGAUGGUUGGUAGCAGUAAAUGCCUUGGGCUUAAAAAUGCCAGAUUUGGACCUGGUUUGCAUAUGAUGAGUAGAGACAAGAAGGGUUGGAGGGGGUACAAUACCAGGAAGUGAGACAGGUGCAGGUAUAGAGACUGAUUCAGAUGCAAAUUCAGUAGAACUGACAGGGUGUAGAGGUUGAAAGACAUGUGGAGAGGCAAGAGAUGGGGAAUGUGUAAUAGGAGAAGUAAGAGUGGAUGGAGAAUAAAGGUUGGGAAAUGUAAGGGAAAAUGAGGAAGGGUUGACUGAGGAUGAAGCACAAUAAGGUAGUUGGGAAACAAGAGAGGAAUUAUGAAAGGGGAAUGUGGUUUCAUCAAAAUAGACAUGCCAGGAGACAUACACCCUAUUAGUGAAAGGGUUUAAGCAUCUGUAACCUUUGUGAACCAAACUAUAGCCAAUAAAAACACAUAACUUGCUUUUGGGGUCGAGUUUGGACUGUGUAUAUGGCUUGAGCCAAGGAUAGCAGCUGCAACCAAAGAUUUUCAACUGAGUGUAAUCUGAUUUCUUCUUGAAAAAUUGCUCCCAAGGUGAAAACUUUGCAGUUGGAGGAAGUCUGUUAAUGAGAUAAACUACAGUGAGAAAUGCUUCUACCCAAAAUUGAUGAGGAACCUGAGAUGCAAUAAGUAGGGUCCUGGCUGUUUCCACAAUGUGUCGAUGUUUCCGUUCUGCACACCCGUUCUACUCAGAAGUGUAUGGACAACUAAAAUGUUGUUGAAUGCCAUGGCUGGACAAAUGAUGUUUGAACUGAGCACUAAUAAACUCACCCCCUGAGUCACAUCUCAAAGUUCCAAUUUUGUUACCAGACAGAUUUUCAACCAAAGCUUGAAAGUUGACAAAAACUUGAAAGACAUCUGAUUUAUGUUUGAGAUGAUACAACCAAGUGUACUUAGUAAAGUUAUCAACAAAGAUGACAUAGAAUCGAUAUCCACUUACAGAAGACAAAGGAGCUGGACCCCAAACAUCCGCAUGAACUAACUCUAGAGAUCUAGAAGAAUUACAGAUAGAAUUCUGAAAAGGUAACUUGGCACAUUUUCCUAAAACACAAUUCGAACAUAAAUAUUGUUUUACAGUAGUAGAUAAAGGCAAUGAAGACUUUGAGAUCAUAGAUUGCAAAGUCUUAAACAUUAGAUGCCCCAAACGUUGAUGCCAAGUAUGUUGUGAUGCCUUGAGUGCAGUAAGACCAUGAUGCUUUGGUGAAGACUGAGAAAAUGAAGAAAAUGGAUAGAGACCACAGCGAACAUGAGCUCUAAAAAGCAUCAUCCCCCGUAGUAAGAUCAUUGACAUUAAAGUCAAAAGGAUUUAGAGUUAGGGAACACCAAUUGUCUCUAAGAAACAUAUCUGUAGAAACAAGAUCAUGCUUCAAGUGUGGAACGUGCAACACAUUCUGUAAUUUAAAAGCAGCAGAAUGUGUAUGAAGGAAAGAGGAACCAGAGUGGAGAAUCGGCAAACCUUGGCCGUCUCCAAUGGAGACCUUAUCGGGGCCACUGUAAGGCUGGGGAUUCUGAAGAUUGUUGAUGUUGUUGGUCAUAUGAGAGCUUGCUCCAGAGUCAAGUAGCCACGGAGGAGAAGAAGAUGCAUUUGAGCGAGCAUACAUAGCAAGCUUGGCUGGUGGAACGGCCUUGAAAAUUAAGAUUCAUGCGAUUAGAGCAGUCAAUCGCUUGAUGACCAGUGUCUUCACAGAUUUGACAAGGAACAUUCCGGGAAAUGUUGUUGAAGAACUGAGAACUAUUGCGAUUUCCUUCACUACUACGAUUUCCUUCACGAUUAUAAGCAUUCUUGUUGGUGUUGGUACGAGUGUAGCAAUUGCGAUUAUUGUAAUUCCUUGGAGAACCAUUGCCUCGGUUGAAAUUAGAGGAAUGAGGUGGCUGAGCAAUGUAUGCUUGAGGUGUAGGAAGGAGUAGAGGAGCAGUGGAGGACGUCGGAAUAGAAUGAAAAGCUUGAUAGGGUUCAGAGUUUGUUCCUUGAGUGGUAUGCUUACGAGCAAGGGCCAUUUCUUUACCUAACAAAAAUCCGUGAAGAUCAUCAACAAUAGUAUCAGUAAGGAGAAACUGAACAGAAUCCACAAAAGAAUCAUACUCAUCAGGUAAGCCAUUUAGAAUGAUGAUGAGUAGAUCAUGAUCAUCCACAGGAACACCAGCGGCUGCAAAAGCAUCAGUGGCCUCUUUGAUGCGUUGGAGAUACUCCGAGAUAGAAGAUGAACCUUUCUUUGCAGAUUGCAAGGAUGAACGGAGUUGAUGAAUAUGAGAACGAAAGACACCGCCAAAUCGCAGUUCAAGAUUUUGCCAGAGUUCUCGCGCAGAUUGAACGCCAACGGUGAAAGGAAUCAGAUCUUCCGAUAGUGUGGAAUUGAUCCAAAUAAUGAUGUUUUGAUCUUUCUCAUACCACAAUUCAUAGUCUGGAUUAGGAACAGAGGUGAAUCGACCAGAAUCAUUAGUAAGAAACUGAGGCGGUGGAGGUUCAUAUCCGUUAACAAUACCGGUAAGUUUGUAACGAUAAAAGAUCGGCUCAAAGAGAGAUCGCCAAACAAGAUAGUUAUGGCGCUUGAGCUUAGUCUGAAUCAUGCUCCCAAUAUUGUGGAUCGUAAUCGAGUUGAUCGAGGCCUAAAUUGAAGAAUUAGGGUUUGUGUUUAUCGGAAUUGAAGGACGAGGAUUUGGAGAAAAAGAAUAAGGAUCAACAGGCACAGAAGAAGAAUGAUGGUGCGCGAUCACUGGAGAAGAAGAAGUCGAAGAAUUUGACGCCAUAGAUCGUUGAUCUCAGAGAGAAAUGACAGGAAUGAGACCUGUUUGAUGACUGAGAAAAUGAGAGGAAGCGUAAAAACGAAGGAUCUUAGUCGGUAGACUUUAGGCGAGUGAUACCAUAUUGAGAAAUGAUUUUCAUUACCUUAAAAGAUAAGUUACAAGAGUAUUUAUAUGGAAGCUAAAGUAACAAACUAACAGAGUUAAGGAAAGUUACAAGAGUGGUAAUUUUCCUAACUAACUUUUAACUGUGUCAUUACUAUUAUGUUGAGUUACUUUAGUAACUUUCUCUUCAUAAAUUAUAAGAUCAUGAAUUCCUUUUAGAUAAAUGUAUAACCAAUCUAAAGCAGCCUACAAGACCAUUUAAAGAUAAUGAAAUUCUCAUCACGAGUUAUGUUUUUAUGGAGAAAAUAUACAUAUUAAUCCUCCAAAUGCUAAAAAAUUUAAGUUCAAAUUGUAUGUAUACCCGGGGACCGAUGGGCUUUCCAUUAACCGCAACUGUCAUAAUAUAGCCAAAUAUUAGUAUCUAACCAUGGAAGCACCAGUGACUCCUAAUAGUUUGUAUGUUUGGAGGAGCAUCGCGGCUUCGAGGUAGGUGAUUCACAAAGGCCAGCGGUGGCAAGUGGGCAAUGGGCAGAAAAUUCGAAUAUGGAGUGAUAAUUGGAUUCCGAGGGAUUCCUUUUUUCAGAUUCUAACGCCACCACCAAGGAACUGGGAUAUGGAGGCUAUGAUGGAUGAGCUUAUCUAGGGUAUACCGAAACAGUGGAAUCUCCAGUUACUGAAUGUUCUUUUUUCAUCCGAGGAAGUGGAGUUAAUCCAAAGUAUUCCGCUUAGCGUUCGGGAUGUUGAAGAUAGGCGAGUUUGGCAUUAUGAACAUAAUGGGAAGUUCUCAGUCAUGAGUGCUUAUCAGGUGGCUCAGGGUUUACUCGACAAUAACGGUAAUAGAGUAGGUGGAUAUUCGUCCUCUUUUGGUGGUGUGAGGGAGAAAGAUUGGAAGAAAAUUUGGAAUGCGAGUGUUCCUGGGAAGGUGAAGAUUUGUGUGUGGCGUGUUUGUUUGGAUGCUUUACCCAUACGGUUGAAUUUGCGCAAAAGGAAAGUGUUGGGAGACGAGGCGCGUGUGGUUUGUGGGGUACAAGUAGAGUCAACGGAGCAUGGAUUUAGAGACUGUAGUCUGGCGAGAGUGGUGUGGUUUCGAAGUUUGGGGCUAAGGGUGGAUAGUGGAUGUGACCGAAUGUCUCUUGUGCAGUGGAUGGUUACAUGUGCGCAUCAACUCCCUAUGGUUGGUUUCGAGCUUUGGUUGAUGUUGUUAUGGGCAUUUUGGAAACAUAGGAAUGAGGUGUUGUGGAAUGGGACUCGGAUGCCACCACAUGAUGCAUGAAUUUCAUAAAUGGCAUAAACCCCUAACUUGGAGGAUGGCUAGGGAGAUCCAAAAAUGGAGGAAACCUAGGGUCGGAUGGAUCAAAUGUAAUUUUGAUGGGGCUUGGAGUAUAGGUGGCUCUCGGGGGGGGGGGUGCUAUGGUGUCGUGCUUAGGGAUCACACAAGUGGAUUUCUGGGGGCUAUGGCUGGUCUUUUGAUGGGGCUUAGAGUAUAGGUGGCUCUCGAGGGCGGGGGGUUGGGGGGCACUAUGGUGUCGUGCUUAGGGAUCACACGUGUGGAUUUCUAGGGGCUAUGGCUGGUCCUGUUGAGGGGUCUACGUCGGCCUUGUAUUCAGAGCUGUUUGCAGAGCGCCACGCAGUGGAGUUAUAGACUAUAUCCGCCCGAUGCCAAGGUAAAGUUGGAAGGCGAUUCAUCUGUGGUGACGGCUACUAUGACAGGAAAAGAGGACGAUGAUUCCGUUUGGGGUUAGGUUAUAAAUGAUUUGAGAUUUUUUUCUUAUGGAGUUGCCUUAUGUGGAGUGUGGUCACGUUCAGAGUGAAGGUAACUUAGUUGCGCAUUGUCUUGCCCGGUUGGGCCUCAGCUGUUCUCAGGAUGUGAUGUGGUUCGAGGAGCCUUCGGAUUUGAUUCAAGAUCUUUUAUUUGAGGAAGGCAUGUAAUUUCAUUUCUCUUUGUUCAUUUGAGGAUAGGUAUUUUGUUGUGUGGGACACUCUUUUCCUUUGAUUGGGUUGAAAGCCCCAUCAAGGUUUUUAUCGAGGUCCAAUUAGCACACUAUCCUUAGUUUGUAUGAAUUCUAAUUAUCUUAAUAAAUGUCGUACUUGUUGCAAAAAAAAAUAAAAAAUUGUAUUUGUACUUAUGUUGGACCUUGGAUGUGAUCACGCAUGACAUACAUGUCGUAUGUGGGAUUUGAUUUGGUUUGUUAUGAUAUAGGUCAAGAUUCAAGAACAAUAAAUUUUUAUCACAUUACGGAGCUUUCAGGUUGAUGUUUUGACUCCAUCAAAUUAAACAAGAUUUGAUUAGAUGUAUUAGGUCCGAAGAUACAUCUUGUCUUCAUAUAGGUAGAUGGAAACAAUCGGACAAGCAUACCCACAUGUUCAUGUAUAUACUAUAUCAUGUAUUUAUUUUUAUUUUUUGUCAAGAAUACUAUAUCAUGUAUUAAUAUAGUACAAAACUGUUGUAUGCUCAAUAUUCUCCUUUUCGUUCCUAAUUGUAGGCAAGAGUAUAUAUUUCACCUUAUGAUGAACUAUUUAUAUGCCGGGAGAUUCAUUUUCCUUUUUUUCCCUGGAGACCCUCGGUGGUACACUAAUCAUUGAUAUGAUAAAAAAAAUGUACACUUAGUUAAGAGAGAUAUAAACCUUACUCCUCAUAAAGCAAGGAAAAGAGAAAAUGAGUCAAAAGUAAAGCAAGAUGUCACACUAAAGAGUCACUUUCAAGCAAUAACUUUUGUCAACCCUACGCAUGAGCAAACUCCAUCAACCCCGCACAUGAGCCAACUCCACAGCAAGAUUGAUAGCAUAAAGCUCUGCAUAGAAAGAUUAUCCCAAACUCUGAGAUAAACCACCAAGAAAAUGACCCACAAAAUCUCGAAAAUCCCCACCAUAAGCUGCAAGAUCCAGUUUGUUUAGCAAGGUUAUCCCUGUUCAUUUUUGACCCAAGGACAUGAAGAAGGAUUCCAAAUAAUGGUAACUAUAUAAGGAAAAACGCAGCCUCAUUUGUAUCUAAGCUUAAAUUUAUACUGUUUUAAUAAAAUCAUUGAUGAUUUAGACAUGGAAUUAAUGUUAGAUCUUUCUUUUUGGUUAUUAGGUUGGAAAAUUGUUACCGAGCAUGAGAAUUGGUGGAUUCUAAUGGUUAGAGAAAAAAAAAAGUGCUUGAUGCAUUGUCCACGUCUUGGAGGCAUGCUUUAGUGAAUUCAAUUUCUUAUCUGAUGCUAUCAUCAACCUUGGUUACUAUGUAACUAAUGAUGUAAACUUGAGUUGUAUAAAGAAAAACCAAGCUUAAUUUGACUUGACCAUUUGUGUUGGAGAUAUGUUUUUAAAUAUAUAGAUAGCAAAUGCUGUCCGUACGUCCGUGUGGAAUGUUUAUGCCCAUGCUUAGAGAGAGAAAGAAAAGAGGAAAGAUAGGUAGGAGGGCACUCCAGGGGAGAGGAAAUGGGAGGAAAAUAAUCUAACAUGCUAAGAUGGAGUUUCCACUAUGACUAAAAGGGAGCCCACCCUUAUCAUGGUCUCUUCAUGCACGUAUAAGCCUAGCUCUGCCCUAGCUCUGCCCCAGGUGUAUAAAAUCUACCAUGAAUUCUCUCAUGGACUUACAAAUAAAACCAUCACUCUCCCUCCCUCCCCAGCUGUGUAGGGUUAUUAGCUACAAGUAUGAAUUACUAUAUUGCUAGAGCUUAUCAGUGCCUUAUUAGGCAUUUUUGCAGCUAGCGCGUUGGAUAAUGAUCUUGACCUAGAAACAAUACUACCGACUGAUCAACGACCGGUCCACCACCACCGCCGCUGCUGUCAGCCACCGCAGCCAGCUCUAGGUCUAGGAAUCACAACGUAAACUGGGCGAAGAUUAUCGCGGCCUAUUGCUUGUCGACAGCCAUUGGAAUGGCUCUCAUUCCCAUCCAACUUCACUCCAACAAGCUCCCUCUAACCUUUUGCGUUCUUGGUCUCGGAAUCCUACUUGCCUUUGCUUGUAUAAUGGUUAGCAAAUUUAUCCAGCACUCCUACUCACCACGAAUAAUAGUUUCUCUCUUCCAAUAUUUCAGGGUUUUCUUCGGAGUCACUGCCUUCUUCGUUUCCGUCACAAUCCCAUUUCCUCUCUGGUUCAGAUGUACCGCUUCUCUCAUCUAUGCGGCCUCAGGCCUUGUAGUGUUAUUUUGACACCGCUACUAUACAUAAGGCUAUAGCAAGCAAGGAGAAUACCUCAUAAACAAAACGUUCGAUAGGGGAAACAUAGUGGACGAAAGAUAAAUAAUUUUUUUUAGUGGAUUAUAUUACUUUAUGGGGUUUUACCUUAUGAAAAACAAAGGGGUACGUGGACAUUCUUUGGUUUGGAAUUGACAAAAAAAAACAUCGAAGUUUUGUUUGGUUAGACAUUGAUACUCCCUUCGAAUAACCAAAAAAAAAAAAAAAUGAUACUCCCAAAGGGAUCAUAGCGAGGAAUAUAAGUUCUUGUGUAUGUAUUACCAUUAAUGAAUUCUCUCGUGGAAAUAACAAACCCAUUUCUCCCUCCCUUCCUCCACCCCAGCUUGUGUGCAGGAAAAUGUACUAUAUUACUGGUGCUAUGCCUUAAGGGCUGCAACAACUCAACAAGAUAUUCAUUAGCCCGCCGUUGGACGAUGAUCUUGACCCCGAAAAAGUACCAAUACCAGCUGAACCAGCAGAAACCAGCUCAACUUAGACUAAAUGGGCAAUGAUCAUUGUGGCGUAUUGUUUGUCAACAGCUAUUGCAAUGGCUCUACUACCCAUCCAACUUCACUCCAAGCAGCUCCCUCUAACCUUUUGCUUUCUCGGUCUCGCAAUCACACUUUCCUUUUAUGGUAUCAUGGUUAGCAAAUUCGUUCGGAAAUCUAAAUGCCCGUGUGUCAGAGUUCAUCUGUUCCAUUAUGUCGGUGCCUUCUUCGGAGUGACUUGCCUUCUUCAUUUCCAUCACCAUCCCCUUUCCCCUCUGGUUCAAGUGAAUUGCAUCUAUCAUCUAUGUGGGCUCAUGCCGUGUAAUACUAUUUUGUCACCACUACUAUAAUUGAUCGGAUAUAUCCGGCAAGAAUUAAAAUAAUUCCAGGAAAGAUGAAAGCGUUCGAGAGAGAGGAGACAUAAUUAAAUUGCACUGUUUGAAUUUUACUCUUAUAUAUGUGUGUUCUAGAAUUGGGACAGUUUGUAAACUACAUGGACUAAAUCCGAAGAAAAUGAAAGGACAUGGAUUGCCGGCCGAGAAGCCAGAGCUGCGUGAUUGCUGCGGCAAACGUGUCCGGUGCGUGUGGGAUGUGUAUUAAGUCGAGCUCGACGAAUACAACAAGCUCUUGAUAGCAUGAAUGGAAAUAUGAUUCCAACCUAUCCUCCCAUUGUUUCCGCUUACGCUCUUCUCUCCUUUUCUGCACUUUCUCCUGAGCUUUCUUGUCUGCCAUUUUGGUUUCCCAUUUUCUGCUUGCUUCAAUAGCUUCUUCUGUGCGCUCUUCGAAAUUGCUUCGCCGCCAUUCGGUGCAUUCCUCCGCUUGAGGACCUUUUCGUUUACCUGAUUUUCUUUGCCCUCCAUAGUUCGAUUGUCGUUGCUGCUACAAUGCAUCUGCUUUCUGUAAUUUCAGAUGGAGGAUUCUUUCUCCCUUUGGAUGUUUUGUUUUGUUAGGGUUUAAUUUUUUUUUUGGUUGGGAACGAUAACGAAGGCUGCUCAAAAAAUUUCUUAAUUUAUUCAUAUUUAAUUAAUUUUUCAAUCUAGUUAGGUAAAAGAGUGGGUUCCGAUUCUGCUAUGUUAACAGUUGAAAGAAAAAUUAGCGGAUUAAUUAAUAGAAGUCUGAUAUUGCAACGAAUUCGUUAGUUGAUGUAUAACUUUGCAAUGUUCAAAAAAUAAGGUAUAAGUUUGUUAUAUGACUUAUACUAUGUUUGGAUGAGGGAAAUAGACUUAGAAUUGUGAUAAAAGUCAAAAUUUAUAAAUUGACAUCCACCAAUUUUUCUUGUUUGGAUUCAUAAACAUAGAAAUUUAGAAUUUAUGCGUGGAAAAAAAAACUUGGAAUUUGGAACCUCAAAUUCCUUAGUUUAAAUUCCAUGUAAAUAAGUGUCAUUUCCCAAUUUCUAUAUUGAUUGAGAGUUUAAAAAUAACAAAUUUCGUAUUCAAUUCCAUUGUUUUUUUUAGGUUAACCAAACAAGAAAAUUUACAAAUUCUAGAAAAUAAAAUCUCGUCAUUUCAAUUUCCGUUAUUUUUAAGUUUCUUAGUAAUCUUAAAUUUCUUCAUCCAAACAUAGUAUUAAAGUUGAGGUGAUAAAAAGUAAUUUAUCCAAAAAUUAACGGUGGUUAAAAUACGUCACAUUUGGACGGUAAAGUCAUGGAAACACCUGUUUCUUCAAUAUGUUGGAUCUUAGCUCCAUGAAACAAUAUACUAACUACUACUAAAACAUUGAAAAAUUGAAAUUUAGUUCAAAACAUUGUAGAUAUAUGGAUCAUAUGAACUGCCUGAAAAAUUCUUGAACAACAAACAAUUAGAGCUAUUACUCACAACAUCAAAUAAACUUUCAUUAAUGAAAGAUGUAAAUCGAGAUGUUAUGGGCAAUCAAUGCCCUAUGUAGAGAUUACUCUCCAUCCGAGCGGUGGACACAAGUACUUUCACUAAAAGAAAUAGAGUAACUAAUUAAUUAACUAGAUCCGAUGAACAUAGCACUAGUGAGGCUGCAGACAACUAAUUAAACUCCAAACAUAACAAAAAACAGUUGACACUGAAACCUACGACAAAUAUGAGAUGCCCAUUCUGAAGAGUAAAUCCCAUAUAUAGUCAUAUAUAAUUAUUCACCAGCACUUCAGGGCAUCCAUGAGAGUUAUUUCGCAUCACACAAUACUAUUUGUGCACGCUUGAUCAUCAAUAGUACUAGUAUCGCCUCGGCAUGAUUCUGUUGCAGGAUCAACGGCGGUUUUUUAGAAAUCUUUUAGGGUUGGGUACUUAGAACUAUUAGGUUUGUAAUAUUUAUUGAAGUGAAGAUUACAAAGUAUUAUGAGGAGAAAGGAGGCAACGUAGAUAGAAUAGGCAGCAUAUUUGAACCACAAAGGAAAUGGGAUGCUGAUGGAUAUGAAGAAGGCCGUGACUCCAAAGAAGAGGCCAAAAUUAUGGCAAAGGAGGGUGAUUGAUAUUCCGGCGGGACAGUAGUUGAAGUGAACAAACUUACUUACCAAGAUACAAGUGAAGGCAAGCAAGACUGAUAGUCCAAGAAUGUAAAAGAUUACAGAAAGCUGGCUGGAGGGAAUUUGGACGGGGAGAAGCGCUAGUCCCGUCGCCACUGUGAAGCAAAACAUGACGACUAUCUUUGGCCAAUCUAAAUUGCUGUUGUGGAACUUAUAAUUAGUCUUGUCUGCAACCUGUUGCAUUACAGCUUCUAGGUCUUGUUCGCGAUCGCGAGCAUGAUCAUCCGGGCUAAUUAUAAGAACUUUGAGUAGUUGGAUUGUCUUUGCAAUAAGUGCAAGGAGAAAGGGCUUUAAGAACUGAUCAUAUAAGAAUUAUUAACACCACACUUCAUUUUUGUUCAGCACCGGAGGGAGAGAGAGAGAGAGAGAGAGAGAGAGAGAAUGAGAACGGUUAGAGAUGGUAAUUUAUAUAUAGUAUAAGGAGGGAAGAAACGAAAGAGAUAGAAAAAGAAGUGAGGGAAAUUAUUUAAUACCAAAAUUAGGCCAGAAAGAAGGAAAAGUAAAAUUAAUUAAAGCUAGCGAUAUUCGAUUACAUGUUUUUGGAUGUGAUUGUGAGCAUUGAUAUAGGAAAAUGAUUUGUGCACACUGUUAUUUUCUUCCAGCCGUUGAAUUGAACAUAUAAAGUAGGAUCAAGGGGCUAAAAUUAAGAGAUAAUGUGCAGAAGAUGAAUAAGAGUGUGCAUAAAUCAGUUCCCGUCUACAUAUCGUGUGAACGCUCACAACUACAUGCACAUGUGGACGAUCGACCAUACUAGCAUCCCUCGAAACACUAUCAAAUACACGCCAGGUGAGAAUUGAAAAAACGGGGACACUGACCGAUGUACUUAAUCAAAUUAAGGUCGACUACGUACAAAAAGGAACUAAUUCACAUUCCUCUUUGAAUUCUCGAAAGAGUAGUACAAGAGUGCAGUUAUGAAUUGGGUCCCUUGCUCGAUCCAUAAAUGAGUUUUUCUUAUUAGAACGAUUGUCGAAUAUAUAAUAUAGGUUACUAAUUUUAUUCUAAACUACAAUGAAAGAGAUUCAAACUCAAUCGGUAUACAUAAAAAUAAACAUUGUCUUAGCCAACUUGACUUACCAUGCACGGGUAUGAUACAAAAGAGUUCAUAAAGUAGCUGACUAUGGGGAUAGGGAUUCAGAUUCUUGAGGCUGCUUGACUAUGUGCUAGAUAUUCAUGAGUCAACAGCUUCUGAGUUCGCAAAUAAGAGCUCGACCUGUUUUCUUUUUUAUUAGACACCAGUGGGAAUUUCAAACUUUAGUUGAGCUUAGUUGCCCAGAAAGUAAUUUUACCUCACUGGUCCAAAGUUCUAUUCAGCUUACCAGUUGGUGGAGUCUAGACUUGCUUUUUGGGGCGAGUCUUGCUAGUAUUUCCUUUAACGGUUAAUUGUCUCUUUCUAUGUGCUAAUUAUGAUAAGAAAAUUAUUCGACUUUGAUUUUUUGUGCUGAAUUCUUUCCGUGCAUGCGGAUUUUAUAUAAUUAUUAGCGAUUCGACUUUGGAUUUUUAAUUGUGUUGAAUUCUUACUGUGCGGACGGAUUUUAUGUAAUUAUUAGUAUCGUACCACACCCAGUAACAAUUCGCUCUUUUGAUUGUUAUUCUUUACUUAUAAUUUUUUUAUUUUGUUUAAAAUAUUUUUUAUUUAUUUUAUUUAAAAUAUUUAAGAAAUAAAAGAAAAAAAACUGUCCAUGUAGUUAGAAGACUAUAAAUUAAAUUAUGUGGAAAUAUUUAAAGGAGGGAGAAAAAGAGGAACUUGGAAUUGGAUAGAGAAGUUUUUAUUUUUAUUUUUUAAAUUAGACGAUAUUAGGAUCAUCUUUGGAUGAGACUUUAAAAAAAUUGUCAAAUUAGUUUGUGUGUAUUUAUUUUACUGCCCGUCAUUUUAUUUUAUAGUAAAAGACUAAAUUGUAUUUUCACCAUCUUUUGAUUGACAAAUAGAGUUUUAUUAGUAUGUAGUUUAGAUUAUUUUAUUUUAACAAUUUUAAUUAGAGAGGGGUAGUAAUUUUGAAAUUAUGAUUGUUUCACCUUUUUUGCUUUCUGACUUUAUAUAUAUUGUACCAGUACAAAUUACAUGCUUCAUCCUCAUGCCUCCUUCUACCAGUUUUUCUGUAAGGCAAUCCACCAAUCUAGUUGGUAUAUUUCAAGUUUCGAAAAGUCACAUUUUCAUGUAAGGUUUCAAAAUCUCAGAGACGAUUCUGUUUAUAGUAACAAAUAGGAUUCACACAAUAAACUAUUAAUGAAAAACAUUUAAUGAACUAUUAUUGAAGUCACUGAGUAUUAUGGUCCAGUGGUAUACCUCUUCACUUGUAAGCAAGGUAUAAAAUAUCGAUGAUAUUGGAAAUAUCGGUAGUUCAAACACACGAAAAUAUCGAUGGAAAUAUCGAGAGAUAUUAUCGAUAUCGAUAAAAAUUGAAUAAAAACUACGGAAGUUGUAAGAAAAACUUGGAGGAAAUUUUUAUUGAAACUUUGGAGAAUGUUUAUUUAGUCAAUUAUCUAUUAGUUUAUAAAAAAUUAGAAGGAAAUGCAUUACAUGAUGGAUUUAACUGAUUUAAGUUGAUUAUACAGCGAGCUGGCAAACACUGUGAGUGUAGAAAAUAUGUAGUAAUUAAUGAAAAAAAGAUUAAACACACCAUAAUCAUUUAUAUAUAAUGAUUUACUACAAUAUUUUACACUUUAUACAUUGCAUGUGCAAAAGAAAUUGUCAAAGAUUCAUUGUCAUGUGCAAAUUUGUUUCUUGCAAAAAGAAUACAAAACAAAACCAUAUAUAUAAAUAUUUUAGCAUAUGUUCACAAAAACUUAAGUGAUAUGGUGGUUAAGGUGUUGAAGGAGUAAAGUGGGAGGGGUUCGAAUCCCCUUGGUGUUAUUUUAGCAUAUUUUCAUUGUCAUAUGCAAAUUUGGGUUUUAUCUCGCGAUAAUAUCGAGAUUUUAACGAUAUAUCAAUGGAUAGCACCGAUAUUAUCGAUUUUUUCGUCCUUGCUUGUAAGUGAGAGGUCUUAUGUUUGAUUCUCAGCAAAGGCGAAUUUGAACCACGUUAUUGCUAGCUCAUUAUCGAUUUUUUCAUUAAAAUCAUUGAAAAUAUCGUACCUCAAUAUUAUCGCAAUAAUAUCGAGAUUUUAACGAUAUAUCAAUGGAUAGCGCCGAUAUUAUCGAUUUUUUCGUCCUUGUUUGUAAGUGAGAGAUCUUAUGUUUGAUUCUCAGCAAAGGCGAAUUUGAACCACGUUAUUGCUAGCUCAUUGUGAGGCUAAGCCCACCUUCUCUCCCUUAGUGUAGAUAAUAUUUUUUUGUUUUAAAAAACCAAUCAUUGAUAAUAAGAACCAAAAAAAGGAAAAGAAGUAGUGGUAUUUUUGUAAAUAUGCAAAUUUGGGUUUUAUCUCGCGAUAAUAUCAUAAUAUCGCGAUAUAUUUCUCAAAUAAUGUAUUAAAAUCAUUGAAAAUAUUGUAUCUCGAUAAUAUUGAUAUUUUAACGAUAUAUUAAUGGAUAGCGCCGAUAUUAUCGAUUUUUUCAUUAAAAUCAUUGAAAAUAUCGUAUCUCGAUAUUAUCGAGAUUUUAACGAUAUAUCAAUGGAUAGCACCGAUAUUAUCGAUUUUUUCGCCCUUGCUUGUAAGUGAGAGGUCUUAUGUUUGAUUCUCAGCAAGGCGAAUUUGAACCACGUUAUUGCUAGCUCAUUAUCGAUUUUUUCAUUAAAAUCAUUGAAAAUAUCGUAUCUCGAUAUUAUCGCAAUAAUAUCGAGAUUUUAACGAUAUAUCAAUGGAUAGCGCCGAUAUUAUCGAUUUUUUCGUCCUUGCUUGUAAGUGAGAGAUCUUAUGUUUGAUUCUCAGCAAAGGCGAAUUUGAACCACGUUAUUGCUAGCUCAUUGUGAGGCUAAGCCCACCUUCUCUCCCUUAGUGUAGAUAAUAUUUUUUGUUUUAAAAAACCAAUCAUUGAUAAUAAGAACCAAAAAAAGGAAAAGAAGUAGUGGUAUUUUUGUAAAUAUGUUGAACUUUGAAUGCAAUGACAUUUUUGUUAAUAAAUUGAAGUUCGCUAGCAAUAACGUAAAUAAGUUGAAGUGUAUUUUCAUCAGUAGCAAAGGUUUGUAGUGUCUUUUUAUUUGUUUUCUAAUAGGUUAAGGGGUAGUGAUAUCCACAUAUCCAUUUCACCUCUCACAAUUUUGUUAAUUUUUGUUAAUUCGAUAUGACAGCCAAAAAUUAAUAAGUUGUGUGAGAGGUAAAAGUAGGUGUAGGGAUAUCACCACAAAUAGCACUAUCUUAUGUUAAAUCAUAAACAAUUUGAUGACAUAUUUUCUGGGAUAUGGGUUUUUUUUUCCAAAAAAUUUUUUUUCCAAAAAAAAUAAUCAACUAAAUUCAUAGCAUUCACCAACGAGAGAGGCCAAGGAGACUGUCUCAAAGUGAGAUUUUCUAUGAACUUUCUAUCACCUCACAGUUUAAUGUUAAUUCAUAUGCUAAUAUUAUAAAGUAUUGUGGCAAAAAUAAGGUGACAAAGAGUACAUAAAAAAUAUUACUUUUGAAAGAGUCUCUUUAAACCCACCACAAGUAAAUGGUAGCCUCAAAUGUUACAUAUCUGAAUCAACCACCUAGACCCGCCACAAGUAAAUGGUUGUCUCAAAUGUUACCUAUCCGAAUCGACCGCUUAGACCCACCACAAGAAAAUGGUUGCCUCAAAUGGGAUAGUCAAAGUGUGUGAAUCGAAAUUAAAUUAUUUGGCUCUUGAAAAAUUCAUAGUGAAAGAAAACAUAAAUGGUCAAGAACAAUGAUUUAUCAGUAAAAGUCUAGGACACUUAUAGUGUGAACCGAAAUUAAAAUAAUUUAGUGCUUGAAAAAAUCAGUGUUUGGAAAAUACACGGUCAAGAACAAUACUUUGAUCAGUAAGGAUCUAGGAAACUAAUUUAGUUUGUUAAUCAACAGAGUUGUUUAAUUCACACCACACCCCACAUCAACCUCGCAUAUUCUUGCAUAUUCUUGCAUAUUUUUUAUUCCUCCAACACCCAAAUAGGAACCAAUUCUCCAACACCCAGAAUAUCUUGACCUAAUGCGGACUAUUUGUGCACCACGCCAUGGUGACCGAGAUCAAAGCACGCUAUCAGAAGAUGAAUGGGACGCAGCUUAUUUGUAUGUCGCAUUUGUCUUGAGGAAGCGAGGGGAACCUAAUCAGACACAUGUAAAUGGUAGACGACACAAGGGGAAGAUGCAUAUAUCGAAAGAGGACAUCGUGUACGUUAGCAGUGGUUAACAACGCACCAAUGAUGUCUCAAAGGUUCAUGUUUGUAGCAAAAGAGAACAAUGAUUUUUGCUCGGCCAAGUAGGAAAGCAAAUUAAAGAGCUCAACUCCCACAUUGUUCUACUGUGUAAUUCUUGAAAUGGAUGUAAUUAUUCAAUUUAAUUUGUGGAUUUACAGUGAUCUAAAAUUAUUCGUUCUUUACAUAUUAUAAUCUAAAAAAAAAGAUUAAUUUUAUGACUAGCAUGAUCCACCAUUAACAUUAUUGAUAUUUUUUUAAUUAAUUAAACACCUCAUGAAGAGAGAUUUUUCAGUGUGCCGCGGCGUGAUACUCCUAGUGUAAUAAUAUAAUUGGUUAGAAAAUAGAUUUUUUUUCUUUCAACUAACUGCAUUAUGACACCUAGGUAUACCGGGCCACUAUUCUGAUACACUGAAAAUUUUCUAAGGAAAACUAAUAAAAAGGGUUUGAAAAUUUUGAGUUUUAACGAUAAGGACAAAAUAAAGAGCAAAGUGAAUAGUACCAUGAUUGACUUUUUAGUAUAAAAAUGUGAUUUUUUGUUACCGGAAACUUUUCGUUAAAGUUUUCUAAUUUCUACUUAAUGACAUAAUAAGUAAAUCUACCACGUAUAAACCGUAUAUUAUUUUGUUAUCUCUCCAACGUGUUACUCUAUUUUCCAAUAAGUAGUGCCAACUACUUCCAUCAAACAAGAGAAAUACAUAUCCCGGAGAUGCUUCACUCAUAUUAACACAAGGUUUGUAAACUCAACUUUAUCAACAGAAAUCCUAAUCAUGCAUAUUGGGGCGAUUGAAACGUUAAUAUAUUAGAGUUUUUCUCCUCAAACAGUUGUGCUGAUGCAUGCAUGAUCAGCAGCAGUAAUAUAGUACUGCCUCCGUAUGGUUCUGGUACCGCAGGAUAAACGACGUCGAUGGCAUAUUCUUACAUAUUUUUUUAGAGGUGUGAUAUCCACACACUUUUUUUUUCUCAUAUUUUUUUAAUUUUGGGCCGUCGAAUAAGAUGAAUUGAAGAAUAUCAAAUGACAGAAAUUAAUAAGAAAUAUGAGAGAAGUAAAAAUAAGUGUGUGAAUGGCACACCCCAUUCUUUAUUCCUCCAACUCUCAGAUACGAACCCAAUCUCCUCUUCUUUCACUGUAUACAGUUUUGAUGAGUGAGGAAGUCAUUGUCAAACCUUUUUUCCGAUACGUUUGCUGCAGUUUUUUUUUAAUAAAAAAAUAGAUUAUGUUAGAUUAGCCGUCGAAUAUGAUUCAUACUCAUAAUGAUACAUUUUCUCUACUACUGUAAAGAGCCACUUACAUACAUUUGCUGUUCUCCGUAAUGUUUCCAUCACCUUCCAUUAAGGACCUUUUGUGUAAAUAAUUGUAUGUCCGUUAAAUUUUCAAUUGCAUUCUUCAAAUAGGAUAAUAUAUUUAACAAUCACUAUUGCUUCAAAUCAUGAUUGUCUUUUACCUGCUAGUAUGUUUUUUUUUUAACAAAUGAUAUUAUCUACAUUAAGGGGAUGAAAGAAUGAGCUAAGUUUAACAAUAGACUAGCAAUAAUGUGGUUUAAAUUUGCUUUUGCUAAGAAUCGAACAUGCUAGUUCUAGUUAGCUUCAAAAUAAUUAAUUUAGGGGUGUAUUCAAAUUUUUAUUUUCUUUUAAAAAAUCUUUAUGGGGCCUAAAUAAUCAUUUCAUAUCAAGUGAUAAGUCAUUUAAUAAUUAAUUUUUAUGUGAGAUGUAUUUAGCAGUACGUAGGGUGCUAACAAAAAAACCUACUCAAAAUUAAAAUUUUGGUGCUUGAAAAAUUCAAAGUUUAGAAAAACAUGAAAGGGCAAUAACUGAGCUUGUUUGAAUGAGUUUUGAAGGCGUUUUUGGUGAAAAUAUUUUUAGAAUUAAUCUUUCGUAAAAAUGUAAGCAAAUCAUAGAAAAACACUUAAAAUGUUUCUUCCAAGAAGCACGUAAUUGAUGCUUCUUGAACAAAGCACUUCAAGUGCUUUUCAUACCGAAAAAUAUUUUCUCUAAAAGCACUUUCAGUAAUUUUAGAAGCACAUGCAAACAAGCCCAAUGCUUGGCUACUCAAGAAUGAGUGGGAAUUCUUACUCAAAAUUCUUCAUGUCCGAUAAUAUAAAAUUUCAUGUUUAUAAUAAGAACUAUUCAUAAUGUGAAUUGCUCUAUAAUAUCAUCUUUGUAGAAAAUGAACAAUUCUGAAUAUAAGCACGAAAUGAUCGUUAUCAUAAACAUGGAGUGGUACGAAUCAGAAACGAAGAAUUUUGAGUAAGAGCUUGUACUUAUCCUUUGAUUAGCUAAGUAUUAUUCGUGACAAAUUAUAACUCGCAAAGCAAGAGAGAGAAAAGUUUCUUGAACAUAGCCAUGUAUAUUUCUUGAACCAAACAAAGAAAUGUGUAUAACUUAUGGUGGGAUUGCAUUAGACCUUAAGACCCUCUUAUAGAACUAUAGUAAUAUGUUUAGCUAUGAGAUCAUCUCCAAAUUGCAACGUGGAUAUUGUAAGGGGGCGUUUGUUUGCCCUUACUAACAUUCAUUGGCUUGGACUGGCUUAAAUAUUAGUGAAACCUGUGUUUGUUACCUUGCAGGUUUAAGUUUAAUGAGACUAGGGAGGACUAGCCUCACCUAAAGACCUCACAAACUGGUCUUAGCGAAAGCCCCGGAUAAGGAUGAGACUAGCUAUGACCACUUCGUCCUGCUCAUCUUUUCCUCAUUGCUCACUUCCUCUCCCUGCUUUAUGAUGUUGUCAUCUUUCUCUUAUCGCCCCAAACUCAGAAUCAUGAAGAGGCCCAGAUUCGAACUUCAAUCGAAGAACCACGAGCACCAUCGUCCGAUUCAUCGAUCAAAUCAAGCUUAUUGAUGUCACCCUCCAUUUAAAUUUCAACACCUCAUGCUACUUUUAGAUUGAGUAAUGUACUUUAUGUUCCACUAAUGAAAUUCAAUUUACUCUCUGCCUACCAAUUCUUGAAAGAUAACUAUUGUUCCUUGACCCUUGAUUCUGAUGGUUCUGAAAUCAAUGAUCGUUUUUCGGGGAUGACGCUUCUUUUAGGGUCAGUUAAAGAUGGGUUUUAUCCCUUUCAAGGUCUCUCCACUGUCACUCAUUCACAUUCUACUCUUAUUAGUACUAAGCAUCAUUGCAGACUUGGCAUAAGAGACUUGGCCAUCCUUUCUCUGCUAUGUUUAGAAAAGUUUUCAAUAAGCAUAAUCUUGUUCACAAUAGUGACAAAUGUGUAUCUUUCUUUUGCACAGAUUGUGCUAUAGGCAAAAAUCAAUAAAUUGUCAUUUUCCUCUAGUACUAAUUGUGUCUCUACUAGUUUAGAGUUAAUUCAUUGUGAUGUUUGGGUUCUAUCUCCAGUCACUUCUGUAAAUGGUUACAAGUUUUAUCUGUUGCUUGUGCAUGAAUUUACCAAAUACACUUAGUUGUUUCCACUGAAAGCUAAGCUUGAGGUCUUCUCUAUAUUGGUAAUCUUCAAAGCUUAUGUAGAAAACAUGGUUGGAAAUAAAAUAAAGAUUUUGAGAUCAGAUUCAGGAGGUAAGUUCACCAGUUUUGCAUUCAAUUAUUUUCUGUCAAGCAAUGGUAUUUCUCAUCAAUAUAGUUGUCUUCACACUCCAGAACAAAAUAGAUGUGUUGAGAAGAAGCAUAUACAUCUUACACAGACUACAAAGACUCUUUUGGUUUCUUCUCUAGUUCCACAAAAAUUCUGGGUUGAAGCAUUUUCUACUGCUCUUUAUCUUAUCAACAGAUUGCCAAUAUCUAGAUUGGACAAAUCUCCAUAGGAAUUACUUUUUAGGAAUUCUCCAGAUUAUUUAAAAUUGAAAGUGUUUGGGUGCAGCUACUAUCUUUGGCUUAAACCAUAUGUUUCUCCAAAAUUGGAAGGGAAAAGCAAGCAUCGUGUCUUUCUUGGUUAUUGCCUUCAGCACAAAGGCUACAAAUGUUUAGAUCUUCAAUCUCAAAGAAUCUACAUUUCUAAACAUGUUCUGUUCAAUGAAGCUAAUUUCCCAUUUUACGAUGCUUAGACGCUUAACUCAUCAUCAAUGCCACACAAUACAUUGCCUAAAUCAUCUCCAGCAUUUAAUCUUCCAUUUCUAAUAUCUCAGAUCACCACAAUAUUACCUGAGAUUUCUCCAACAAUGUCUUCACAACAAGUAGUAUUUCCACCAACAGUACAAUCUGAGCAAUCAUCAUCUCAGUCAUCAACAACAUCUCAGCAAUCAUCUUCUUAGCAACUUAGUCACUCAUUACCUUCACAAUCAAGCAACUCCUCUUAAACUCAGAAACUCAUUACUACCAACUCUCAUCCCAUGAUUACAAGGUCAAAAGUAGGCAUUUUUAAACCAAAAGCUCUCUUUGCAACCAAACAUCCCAUUGACAUUGACAAUUUUGUGCCUACCCUUAUCUGCAAGCAUCCAAGUAUGAUCAUUGGAACCAAGCAAUGUUAUAGGAAUUUUAGGCUCUCAAAAACACAAGUACUUGAACCUUCAUACCAUCCUCUCCACAUCAAUACAUAGUAGGUUGCAAAUGGGUGUUUAAGAUUAAGAGAAGGCCAAAUGGUACAAUUGACAGGUACAAUACCAGACUUGUGGCCAAAGGGUUUUACUAGCAAGAAGGUACUGAUUUCCAAGAGACUUUUAGUCCUGCUGUAAAACCAGUGACCAUUCGAAUUCUAUUAACUCUUGCUAUUCAAAAUGAUUGGUUCCUUAAUCGGUUGGUUAUUAGCAAUGCGUUUCUUCUUGUACAUUAAAAGAAAAUGUGUUUAUGCAACAGCCUUCUGGAUUUAUUAAUGUUUCUCAACCUUCAUUUAUUUGCAAGCUAAAUAAGCCUCUAAUAUGGCUUGAAACAAGCCUAUUGGGUUUGGUAUGAAAAACUUGGUCAUACAUUACUUUUUCUUGGAUUUACCAAUUCCCAAUCAGCUUGUUCAUUGUUUGUGCAGACUUAUCCUUCUCUUGUGAUAGUAUUGGUCUAUGUUGAUGAAAUCCUAGUCACUGGCCCCAAAUGCAUCUCAUUGUCAACCUUUUAUUCAAAAGCUCAGUUCUUUGUUUCCUGUCAAAGACCUAGAGCCCUUGCAAUAUUUUCUUGGCUUGGAGGUUCACAGAUCCCCUUAAGGUAUUUUUCUAUCAUGGGUAAUAUGCCUUAGAGAUUUUGGUAAAGAUAAAAAUGGAAGGCUAUAAACCUUGUGCCACUCCUCUUGGUACUGAUAAUUUGGAUCACAUUAGAGUUUUGUUGUCAAAUCCAAAGGAAUACAUGUUCAUAGUUUGAGCUCUCUAAUACUUAACAUGGACAAGGCCAUAUAUCUAUUUUGCAGCGAACCAAGUCUGUCAAUAUCUUCACUGUUCAAGGGACAUUCGAUUUCAAGCAGUUAAACGAAUUCUAAGGUUUCUCAAAGGUUCAAUUGAUCAGGUAUUGUGGUUUAGAAAAUGUUCCAUGAAUCGUACAACCUUCUCAGAUGUUGAUUGGGCUGUUAUGUAUUUGAUAGAAGAAUAACAUCUGGCUAUUGUGUUUACUUAGGCAUCAACCUUAUCAGUUGGAGUGCCAAAAAGCAGCCCACUCUUGCCAGAUCUUCAACAUAAGUUGAGUACAAAUCUCUAGCUCUUAAUGCUGCAAAAAUAACAUGGAUUUGUAAGAUUUUCAAGGAUUUUUUUUUAUUUAGAAAACCUCGACGGUACAAGGAUAAUUUUAUUGAUAUAAAAAAAGGAUACACCUAGUCAAGAGGACAUAAACCUAACCCUUCAUAAUACAAGGAAAAAAAUGAUAAAAAAAAAUACAUGAAAAGAAUGGGGGACAUAGACCUUACCCUUCUAGAAACAAAAUCAACAAAGAUUUUCAAGGAUAUUACUUUCCCUCUCACUCAUGCUCCUACAUUGUGGUGUAAGGAUGGAAAUUCUAACCAUUAAACCUGAUAACCGUGGAUAACCACUCAAAUAGAUUGGAUUUGGGUAUGAAAAUUCGGGUAUAUUUUGGGUAUGGGGAAAAACCGUGAUUAUUAUUCGGUUAUGGUUUUGGAUAUGGUUAUAGGGGUCCCCAAUCCGUAUACAUCCCCCCAUCCGGACCGAAUAAUAUAUAUUAUAUAUAAUAUUAAAGUAUUAUAUAUAUAAAUAUAUAUAUAUAUAUAUAAAGUUUUAAUAUGGAUCAAAAUCUAUGAGAAUUCAAUGGUACUUAUGGGAGAUAUCAAAUAUCAAACCAACAUUAUCAACGUUUAGCUUUAAUUUUUAUGUUUCACAAGAUCCAUUCAUUAAAUCAUUUUAUACAUCAAAUAUUUAAUGACAAAAAUAAUAUUUACUAAACUAUCAUGUGUCAAUUGAAUGAAUAUAUUUUUUUUAUUGACGAAGAUGGAUAUAACCGUUAACCGAUGGGGAAUCCGUUACCCGGUGAAUAUGGUUAUGGAUAAUACUCGAUGGUUAAUUUGCGGUUAUGAAUAUGGUUAGUUUUCGUGGUUAUGGGGAUGGAUAUAGCAUUUCCAUCCCCAAACCGAACCGUCGCCAUCCCUAUUGUGGUAUGACAAUGAUUCUGCCAUUUCUUUGGCUUCAAAUCCUGUGUUUCAUGCGCGUACAAAACAUGUGGAAAUCGAUUACCAUUAUAUUAGGGAGCUAGUUCUUGCAAAUUUGGUAAAACUUCUGUAUGUCAACAUCGAGCACCAAAUUGCAGACAUUCAUACCAAAUCUCUAUCAAAGACAUUCAUAUAACGAUAUUUCGCGAGUAUUCCUUUAAUUAUCGUUAUAAUAUCGCGAAAAUAUCGAUAUUAUCGCGAUAUUAUAAAUAAUAUCGCGAAAACCUAAAAAUAUUUGAAAAUUUCUGAAAAGUCUCAAACAUGCACAUAAAGGGAUUCGAACUCCUCCCAUCUAACUCCUUCAGCGGCUUGACCACUAUACCACUUACGUUUUUGUGAAAACAUGCUAAACUAUUUAUAUAUAUGGUUUUAUUUUGAAUUCUUUUUGCAAGAAACAAAUUUGCACAUAUUCCAAAUUUUUUGUGGUAUUAUAUUUUAAAUUGUGUCAAUUAAUUACUUAGUCAAUGGCAUGUGGUUUUUAAUUUUUCUAUUUUUUAUUUGGUCACUUACAUGUAUGGUUGGAAAAAAUUCCCAAAAAUCCCAAACCAAACCGAAAAAGUCCCAAACCAAAACCAUCCCGAAAAAUACCGAAAUUUUCGAUAUGGGAUUGGUUUCCAAAUCCCAUUUGUUUGGUAAUCCCGAAAUCCCGAAAAAUACCGAAGUAUUCGGUUUCCUAUUGACUUUUGGGUUUCGGUUCUUGAAAGCCAUUGUCAUGGUUGCUGACUACUCUUCACAAUACACUUACUCUACACAUAGAGAUGAUGAAGAUAGUGAAAAUUUUGAACCUCAUAGGAACUCUAUGUGGUACUUAGUCACUCAUGUAUCUUACCAUGCAAUGUAUAAAGUGUAAAAUAUUGUACUAAUUCAUUAUAUAUAAAUGAUUAUGGUGUGUUUAAACUUCUUUCAUUAAUUACUACAUAUUUUCUACACUCACAAUGUUUGACAGCUCGCUAUAUAAUCAACUUAAAUCAGUUAAAUCCAUCAUGCAAUGCAUUUCAUUCCAAUUUUUUGUGAUAAACUAAUAGAUAAUUGACUAAAUAAACAUCCUGCAAAGUUUCAAUAAAAAUUUCCAAGUUUUUCUUACAAUUUCCGUGGUUUCCAUGUAAUUUUUAUCGAUAUCGAUAUUAUCCCGAUAUUUCCAUCGAUAUUUCCGUGUUUUCGGACUACCGAUAUUUCCGAUAUUACCGAUAUUUUCUUCCUUGCAAGUAUCUUUAGUCCAAGCUUUCUCUGAGUUCCCCCUUCAAUUAGCUUGAGGGGGUGUAAAAGGAUAACUCAUAGCUAACAAUGUGUACAACUGUAUUUUAGUUGUAACUGUUUUGUACCUAAUCUUUAUUUGUUAUAGAUUUAAUUAAGUGCAAUUAGUCACUAAGCUUUAUUAGGAAAAUGUAUAUAUACUAAGGUGUAUUUCUUAAACAUUAAGAAAGAAAAUAAUACAAGGCUUCUUUCUUUACAGGAAUGCUAACCAACUUGUGUUGUUGAAUUAGUGAGCGGGAGUGCAUCAAUUCAAAUUCCUCAUUUUGAGAUUGCUGGCUUGGAGAGUCAUUUGACAUGGAUUGCUGACAUGGAGAACCAUCUUGAUUAUUAGGUUUAUCAAAGAUUACAAAGACCUAUAAAUAGGAAGGCAGUGACGCAGAUGGAAUAAGCAGCAAAGCUGAACCAGAAAGGAAAUGGUAUGAACCAGAAAGGAAAUGGUAUGGUGAUAGAUAUAAAGAAGGCAGUGACUCCAAAGAAGAGACCGAAACAAUGGAAAAGGCAGGGGAUCCAUAUUCCGGUGGGACAGUAGCUGAAGUGAACAAACUUGCUUACCAAGGUACAAGUAAAGGCAAGCAAGAGUGUGAGUCCAAGACAAUAAAAAGUUUUAGGGAGUUUGGAGUCAUAAGUUAGGCGGGAAGGAAUGCUGGUCCAGUUACAACUGUGAAGAAAACACCACAAUUAUUUUUGACCAAUUUAAAGUUGUUGUUGCCACGCUGACGGUCUAAUAAUAUUUCUCUCUAUUUAUAAGUGAAAUGUCUUGGACCCGACUUGUAUGAAUACAAAUUUGAUACUAAAUUAGGCCUCAUGUCUCCCUCAAAUAAUUCAUUAAUAGUGUUCUAGAAAUGCAUUUGUAAAAAUGAAAUAUAAAGUUUCUAUGUACUUUAAAGCUUCGAGUUCGAACAUAUAAUUUUUCUACAUGGAGAAGGAAGAAGGAGAGACUCGGUAGUCGAUAGAGUGAGAUAUGAUGAAUUGAUGUGGAUGAAUAACUUAUACAAUGAACGGGUUUUGGGGCAUUUGUUGUAAAAUAUAAACUUAGAAUAAUGCUAUUUGUAUCACAUUUUUUUGACAAUCUUAUUGACCACUUUUAAUUAAUAAAUUGGUCCCAAGUUUAGUUUCCUAAGGAUUUGUUUGUUUGGGCUCAUCUUUGUCAUAGCAACUUAGGUUGGGCUUGGAUUUUUAUUGGGUUUACUUAGCCAUGCGAGCUCAUAGUGAGCUCCGAGUGGAUUGUAAUUUCCUGAGGUAUUCUCUUCAUGUUCCAAGAAUUCAAAUUUGAAUUCAGGGGUUUUGCAUCACCUUUUGGUAAUGGAAAUAGAAUACCCUAUUACUUGGAAAGUCGCUCUACCAUGGUACUAGAUGAUUUUCCAAGCGAAAAGCGUGCAUAUGAUCAACUAAAGUAAAACUAUACAUGCAUGCCGUCAAUAAGAUCGAAAUAAAAUUCCAAUUUUAGAGCUAGGCUCUUGAAACGGAUAAAAAAUGUAAUGCAGAGGACUAUGUCUGAUUCAAAAAUGAUUAGUUGAAAAAGAUCGUUUUUAUAUGUUCAGUUUGAAGAGAGUCUAAAACUAACAGAGUUUCGUGUAAGUGUUUCUUUUGGUCGUGUACUAGUCGUUGCCCACUAACUAACGAGAAGAUGAGACGUACCAAAUUAAUUUACUGGAUUAGAUGAAACAUAGCAGUAGUGAGGCUGCAGACAACUAUACUCCAAAUAUAACUAGAAACAGUUUGACAUUGAAACCUACCACAAAUAUGAGAUCCCCAUUCUGAGGAAUAAAUAGUUGUAUAUACAGUACUGCAGGCCACUAGUCAGGAUAUGUAUAAACAUCAUGGUUACAUGAGAGUUCUUUCGCGUCACACAAUAUUAUUCAUGCAUGCUUGAUCAUCAAUGGUACUAGUACCGCUUCGGCAUGAUUCUACCACAGGAUCAAUGGUGUUUUUAGAAGCUGAAUUCUUUGGGGUACCAUGAGGCUUGUAAUAUUUAUUGAAGUGAAAAUUACAUAGAACAAUAAGUAGGAAGGCGGCGACAUAGAUAGAAUAGACAACACAUUUGAACCACAAGGGAAAUGGGAUGGUGAUGGAUAUGAAGAAGGCUGUGACUCCAAAUAAGAGGCCAAAAUUAUGGAAAAGUAGGGGGAUUGAUAUUCCGGCGGGACAGUAGUUAAAAUGAACAAACUUGCUUACCAAGAUACAAGUGAAGGCAAGCAAGACUGAUACUCCAAGAAAGUAAAAGAUUACAGGGAGGUGGCCAGAGUGAAUUUGAACGGGAAGAAGCGCUAGCCCAAUCACUGUUGUCAAGCAAAACAUGAUGAUCAUGUUUGACCAAUCUAAGUUGUUGUUGUAGUACUUACAAUUAGUCUUGUC
rnacentral:lncRNA from 1 species